rfam:Lachnospiraceae bacterium 10-1 genomic scaffold acPFo-supercont1.2, whole genome shotgun sequence.
CAAAUCCUGUCUGCGAAGGUCUAGCCAACCAGCAGUAGCGAGUCUUGCGUGGCAGUCAGUAAUGGCUGGUGCGAAGCGUAGACAGCGAGCAAGCAGGGCUGCAAUGCGAUUGAGCCUCGAAAUGUUGAAGUUCAGAGGGCUGACGUCUUAACUGGUGCGGAAAGCAAUAUCGGGCAGUUCGUAUAAGGCGAGAACUGUCCGGCACUGCGGGGUCAAAGAGCC